GCCCGGGGCCCCCCCUCAUUGAGCCGGAGGCCCAUCAAUCAGCCUCGCCGCUGCCAGUCCUCGGGCAGCUCCCCGCGCCCGCAGGCGGCUGCCCCUGCCAUUGCAGCUCCUGGCUCCGGGCGCGGGCGCUCGCCUUCCCCCUGCACCCCCAGGAUGGCUCAGCCCGGGUGAGGUAAACAAAGUACUUUAUCCAACCGGGGCCCGGAGCAGGGGAGGUAGCGCACCCGACCAGGGAGGGACGGUCCCGGCGCCACCACCGGCUGACUGCGCACCCUGCUGCGGGCAGCGGGGCGACUCCUGCCCCGCCGCCAAGUCCCCUAAGAAGCUCCAUCAGUGACGAGUGGACUUCCUAACUCGUUCAUCUUCCCGGGCGCUCCUCCCCAGCAAGCCGGGCAUCCUCUGAGCGUCCGGACACCGCUGCUCACAUUGCUCUUGUCCUUGGAAGAUGUGCUUGCCAUGCGGGGUGCCGCACCGAGUUUCAAAAAUCAGUUUCAUUAUCUUUUUCCAACAGUCUCCUCCCCAUAUAAAAAGAAAUGGAUUGCUUGCUUUUAGUUGGUGUCCUCCUCCACCUUCCACCUACCAUCAAGGCUUUUAGUAUUUUUCUGCCUGCCGAAUACCAGCUCAAAGACAUCUUUUAACUCAGACCGCAGCUUGCAGGAUUCAACACUGGCAGAAGGGAACACUGUCCAAAACUUGGAAGAUCAGACCCUUCAGAGGAAACAAGGCCAGGAGGUGGUCUGGGAUGCGUUGUCACAGGAGCCAGGAUAGGCAGGUGACUCUGUAAAUUCAAGGAAAUGACACAUGGAGCAAUGUCAUCUAAAAUGAAAAGGGUCACAGUCAGGUGAUGAAGAACUGGAGCCAAAAGAGGACAAGAUCUGGAAAGAAAGCAGAAGAGACGAAGCAGGAGUGAAAUGGACAGAUGAGAACUGGCCUAAACAAUUCCGGAGGCAGAAUGUGGAAAAGACAGUCUAUCCACACCAGAGGGUUCUCAUUCUGAAGAGAUAUGAAAGUGACCUGUGGGAUUUUUUUGAAGUGCUGCUGGCUGGGAACUGCUGGAGGUGCAGUGGGUCUUACCCUAGUGUGUGGAGCUAAGUGAUUUCUGAUCUCUGAAGGCAGGGAAGCUCCUGGAGUGGCAUCAAGCGUGGGUGACAGGGAGUGUGGACGAGCAGUGGGCAGUGAGGCCUCUUCCCUGAUGGUUCAAGUGCACAUGACUGAUGAAUGGGUACCACGGGGUUGGAGCAUUGCAGAGGUAUAUUUAGCUGUUACCUAGGACUCAGUCCACUCAUCUCCCACCCUCUGGGACACCCAUUGGAUGGCAUUCACUGGAUACCAGAGCAGGAGACUGUGGACCUGCUCUGAGGGCCUGGGGUAAGGCAGAAUCCUCACUCCCCUGCAUAAGAAGAUCAUUCUAAGAGCAUUUAAAGUAAGUGUGAUUUUCUGAGCCCCACCCUAGAUCAGUUAAAUUAGGAUCUCUCCUGGGAAGUCUGUCAUCCUAACUGAAGUGCAAGGCAGGAGAGGAGAAUGUGUUAAAGGAAAAUGAGGUGGUAUGUCUUGUGUGUUCAGAGGAAGGGGCUCAGGACAGGGGCUGGAAAAAGGGGACAUUCGGGGUGUGGAUGGAGACCAUGGCAACCAAUAUGUUACCUGUAGACAGCAAUGAGGAUUUUCAUUCCAGAAAGACUCACACUAACUGCAGCGUCGUCCGGCUCUGCCUCCCUUGCUGUGCUGUCGUUCCAGUGGAACAUCUCUGUUCUCAGUUUCAGUGCAGGUAAACUAUCACAAACUGGGUGCUCGAGCAACAGAAUUUCAUCAGCAUCUCACAGCUCUGGAGGCUGAAAGUCCAAGAUCACUGUGUCAGCAGGGGGAUCUUCUAGACCCAGAAACUGAACCUGUGUCUCCUGCAUUGGCAGGCGGAUUCUUCACCACCGAGCCAUCUGGGAAGCCCCGUGUUAUCCAUUACAUUCCCAUUAAGGAUGAGACAACCCUGGCCAACCUCAUAAAGCCCUUUCAGGUUUCUGAGUCCUAUCUGAGGCCUGUUAAGCUUUGCCAUUCUAAAGAAAAUGCAAGUCUGCAGGGCUCCCGGGAAAAGUGCCUGUGGCCGAUCCUAGCUGCAUCCACUUAUAACAGAGGAUCCCCCCUCUAUUCUCCAGCCGCCCUUCCCCUUGAUGAGUCAUGUGACUAAUUCUGGCCAAAGGAUGGUGGAUGAGCAAGACGUGCGUCUCUUCCAGACCGAGGUGUCCACUAGACACGUUCUGCUCUGCAUCUGCCAGCUGACUCAGUCCAGAAGAUGGCAGAGUCUCAAGUUGGACACAGUCCAGGCCCCCUGAGAGGGCCCUGGAGGACAGCCACUCUAGGAAGGGCUGCAGAGAGGAGUACAUGACUACGUGGCCCUGGGAAGCCAUGCAGGACCCAUCAGGUAAAGGAGAGGAAAUUCUGCUUUUCGUUCUACAGGAUGGAAAACAAACAUUGAUUAGUGGAUCUUUAUGGCAAAUGUGGACAGAGUAUUUGGGAGAAGAUGCAGAUAUCUAUUUCUAGUCUCCUGCGCUAACACAAUAGAGUCACACUAUGUGCUCUUCACCAACUGAUGAACAGAUAAUUUAUGGUUUAUAAUCUAAACUGUCAGAGUUUCCUUUAUGUAAUGACUACAGACUAUACACAGCUACCUUUGUAGAACCUAAAAACAUCAUUGCUUCAGGCAAGAUGUAAUGUGCAAUAAAUAAUUUAGCAACA